AUUGAACGCUGGCGGCAGGCUUAACACAUGCAAGUCGAGCGGUAGCACAGGGGAGCUUGCUCCCUGGGUGACGAGCGGCGGACGGGUGAGUAAUGUCUGGGAAACUGCCUGAUGGAGGGGGAUAACUACUGGAAACGGUAGCUAAUACCGCAUAACGUCGCAAGACCAAAGAGGGGGACCUUCGGGCCUCUUGCCAUCAGAUGUGCCCAGAUGGGAUUAGCUAGUAGGUGGGGUAAUGGCUCACCUAGGCGACGAUCCCUAGCUGGUCUGAGAGGAUGACCAGCCACACUGGAACUGAGACACGGUCCAGACUCCUACGGGAGGCAGCAGUGGGGAAUAUUGCACAAUGGGCGCAAGCCUGAUGCAGCCAUGCCGCGUGUGUGAAGAAGGCCUUCGGGUUGUAAAGCACUUUCAGCGAGGAGGAAGGUGGUGAACUUAAUACGUUCAUCAAUUGACGUUACUCGCAGAAGAAGCACCGGCUAACUCCGUGC
rnacentral:rRNA from 1 species